rnacentral:rRNA from 1 species
GACAGGGGAUGCAAGCGUUAUCCGGAAUGAUUGGGCGUAAGGCGUCUGUAGGUGGCUUUUUAAGUCUGCCGUCAAAUCCCAGGGCUCAACCCUGGCCAGGCGGUGGAGACUACUAAGCUGGAGUACGGUAGGGGCAGAGGGAAUUUCCGGUGGAGCGGUGAAAUGCGUAGAGAUCGGAAAGAACACCAAGGGCGAAGGCACUCUGCUGGGCCGAAACUGACACUGAGAGACGAGAGAUAGGGGAGCAAAUGGG